rnacentral:rRNA from 1 species
UGCGUAGAGAUCUGGAGGAAUACCGAUGGCGAAGGCAGCCAUCUGGCCUAAUACUGACGCUGAGGUACGAAAAGCAUGGGGAGCAAACAGGAUUAGAUACCCUGGUAGUCCAUGCCGUAAACGAUGUCUACUAGCCGUUGGGGCCUUUGAGGCUUUAGUGGCGCAGCUAACGCGAUAAGUAGACCGCCUGGGGAGUACGGUCGCAAGACUAAAACUCAAAUGAAUUGACGGGGGCCCGCACAAGCGGUGGAGCAUGUGGUUUAAUUCGAUGCAACGCGAAGAACCUUACCUGGCCUUGACAUACUAGAAACUUUCCAGAGAUGGAUUGGUGCCUUCGGGAAUCUAGAUACAGGUGCUGCACGGCUGUCGUCAGCUCGUGUCGUGAGAUGUUGGGUUAAGUCCCGCAACGAGCGCAACCCUUUUCCUUACUUGCCAGCAUUUCGGAUGGGAACUUUAAGGAUACUGCCAGUGACAAACUGGAGGAAGGCGGGGGCGACGUCAAGUCAUCACGGCCCUUACGGCCAGGGCUACACACGUGCUACAAUGGUCGGUACAAAGGGUUGCUACACAGCGAUGUGAUGCUAAUCUCAAAAAGCCGAUCGUAGUCCGGAUUGGAGUCUGCAACUCGACUCCAUGAAGUCGGAAUCGCUAGUAAUCGCGGAUCAGAAUGCCGCGGUGAAUACGUUCCCGGGCCUUGUACACACCGCCCGUCACACCAUGGGAGUUUGUUGCACCAGAAGUAGGUAGUCUAACCGCAAGGAGGACGCUUACCACGGUGUGGCCGAUGACUGGGGUGAAGUCGUAACAAGGUAGCCGUAGCAUC